GACGAACGCUGGCGGCGUGCUUAACACAUGCAAGUCGAACGGAUUGCUUGGUGCUUGCACUGAGUGGUUAGUGGCGAACGGGUGAGUAACACGUGAGUAACCUGCCCCCUUCUUUGGGAUAAGCACCUGAAAGGGUGUCUAAUACUGAUUAUUCUGCUGGAAUCGCAUGGUUUUGGUUGGAAAGGUUUUUCUGGUGGGGGAUGGGCUCGCGGCUUAUCAGCUUGUUGGUGGGGUAAUGGCUUACCAAGGCUUUGACGGGUAACCGGCCUGAGAGGGUGACCGGUCACAUAGGGACUGAGAUACGGCCCAGACUCCUACGGGAGGCAGCAGUAGGGAAUAUUGCACAAUGGACGAAAGUCUGAUGCAGCGACGCCGCGUGAGGGAUGAAGGCCUUCGGGUUGUAAACCUUUUUCGCUUUUGACCAAGGCAGCAUUUUGGUGUUGUUGAGGGUAUGAGGUAAAGAAGCUCCGGCUAACUACGUGCCAGCAGCCGCCGUAAGAC
rnacentral:rRNA from 1 species